GACGAACGCUGGCGGCGUGCUUAACACAUGCAAGUCGAACGGAAGGGCCUGCUUUCCCUUGUGGAUUGCGGGUACUCGAGUGGCGAACGGGUGAGUAACACGUGAGUGAUCUGCCCCCAACUUGGGUAUAAGCCUGGGAAACUGGGUCUAAUUCCCGAUAGGACUGCAGGGUGGUGCCUGUGGUGGAAAACGAUUUUCUAGUGGUUGGGGAUGAGCUCGCGGCCUAUCAGCUUGUUGGUGGGGUAAUGGCCUACCAAGGCGGCGACGGGUAGCCGGCCUGGGAGGGUGGACGGCCACAUUGGGACUGGGAUACGGCCCAGACGCCUACGGGAGGCAGCAGUGGGGAAUAUUGCACAAUGGGCGGAAGCCUGAUGCAGCGACGCCGCGUGGGGGAUGACGGCCUUCGGGUUGUAAACUCCUUUCGACCGCGAGGAAGCCACCUGGUUGGAAGGGUGGUGACGGUAGUGGUAGAAGAAGCACCGGCUAACUACGUG
rnacentral:rRNA from 1 species